rnacentral:rRNA from 1 species
UACGUAGGGUGCAAGCGUUAAUCGGAAUUACUGGGCGUAAAGCGCGCGCAGGCGGUUAUGUAAGGCAGUUGUGAAAUCCCCGGGCUCAACCUGGGAACUGCAUCUGUGACUGCAUAGCUAGAGUACGGUAGAGGGGGAUGGAAUUCCGCGUGUAGCAGUGAAAUGCGUAGAUAUGCGGAGGAACACCGAUGGCGAAGGCAAUCCCCUGGACCUGUACUGACGCUCAUGCACGAAAGCGUGGGGAGCAAACAGG